AUUGCUUCUCGAACUUUUGGUUAAGAUCAAGUGUAGUAUCUGUUCUCAUCAGUGGUUUAGUCUUUGGCCGAUGAUGUAGGAUGGAUGCUGUAUGGAGGGAGCAGGUGUACCAGGGCGUUCUGAGGACUCAGCUCGACGGCUGUCCUGAUGUGACCGGUUUCCUCCGGGUCUCGCCAUGAGGUA